rnacentral:lncRNA from 1 species
AAAAAUUUCCAUUUUUUGGGUAAUUUCACAAAUUGAUCAGGAAAUAUUUGGAUACAAUGUGAUGACCAACAAUAUUUUUUUUUUCAUUUUAGUAAACAUUUUAAAUGGAAAACAUAACAGGGUCAAAGAACAAUAUGAUAACAGUCAUUUUCACAAGUAAAAAAAGCCCAUAGCAACCGGAUUUACACCAUAGCAACAUUAAAAACUACCUUUGAACCAGGCCUAUGUUGCUUAAAUUUUAAUUUCUGGUCAUGUUCAAAUGUUUUAUCAUGUAUCUAGAAAGUAUUUACAAGCAACAUUGAAUUACAACAAUACUAU